AACGAACGCUGGCGGCAUGCCUAACACAUGCAAGUCGAACGAUACCUUCGGGUCUUUUGGCGCACGGUUUCGUAACGCGUGGGAACCUUCCCUUAUGUUCGGAAUAACUCCCCUACUGGGUUGCUAAUACCGGAUAAUGUCUUCUCACCAAUGAUUUAUCGCCUUUGGUUGUUCCGGCGUUGGAUUAGCUAGUUUGUAGGGUAAAAGCAUACCAAGGCGACGAUCCAUAGCUGGUAUGAGAGGAUGAUAAGCCACACUGGGACUGAGAAACGGCCGAGACUAGUACGGGAGGGAGAAGUGGGGAAUAUUGGAAAAUGGGGGAAAGGAUGAUAAAGCAAUGACGGGAGAGUGAUGAAGGAAUUAGGGUUGUAAAGCUAAAUUAAAAGGGAAGAUAAUGACAGUACCGGGAGAAUAAGCACCGGCUAACUACGUG
rnacentral:rRNA from 1 species